rnacentral:lncRNA from 1 species
ACAAAUUGAUGUUCUUCAAGUUUCAAGUUUCAUAUAUUGAAAUGCUAUUCAUAAUGAUUCCCUAACAUACAAUAUCAUUGUUGAACAAUUCCUACUGCACUUUAAGCUAUGAUUUUUUUAAGAAUGAACAAAAGAAGCUACUUGCAGAAGAGUAAAUAUUAUUACAUUACAUGGAUAGUCUUUAACAAAGACAUCCUAAAAACCAAAUGCACAUUAUGUUUCCUAAACAUCAUAAGGUUCUCCUCCCUUUGUAGUCUCCAUUAUACAAAUGAGCUUAAAUAGCUACAUCCAUCAAAGCUUGACAAAAUCUAACUCUGACCAAAAUAUCUCUCUUUUUUCUUUCUUUCUUUUUCAAUAGUUUAACCAAAAUAUGUUCACAAGUGUAUAUAAUUACAAGUCUUCAGACAGUAGCAUCAUUUUAAUUUUAUAUGGAGCUCCUCCAAGUUACCCAUAUAGCCACCAAAUCCAAUGGCACUCCAUAUUUGAUUCUGCUACAGCCACAGUGCAUCUGGUAUAAAAAUUCUUUCAAGCAACUUCAAAUGGUAGAAUAAGAUACCGAUAUAUGUCUCUAGUAUACAAAUAACAUAUCAAUUGAAACUCAUAAGUCUUUCCAUGAAAUUUCCAAACAAACAGAAUGAUCAAACAAAAUGCCAAUGUCACAACUAGUAUAUCAGAUUCCAUCAGUACUAGAAGACAACAAUUACCAAUAAUUACCAAUACAAGUUGGAAACAAAAACCUACUCCAUGGAAAAUCUAGAAGCCAAUCUAUCUAAAUUGGAGUCAAACAACAAAUUGAAAGAAGGAAUUAUUAGGUUUUUAUAUGAGGAACAAGGAAAUUAACUAAUUAAGAGAAAGCAGACUCAGAGUUGGAACAUUAAACUCAAAUAUGGAAUCAGCGGAAAUAGCGGUACACUCGACUUAGGGAGGAAAACGGAACCAGGGGAAUUGAUCGACAAACGAUAAGAAACGGGGGUUUUUAAGUUUAAGAAGUGGAAGGAAAUCAAGGUGAAUCAUUUCAAAAGAUUCAUUGAAAGCAUGGGAAGAAGAAGAAGAAGAAGUCGGGUAUUUGUGUCGAGCAAGAAGAUGACCUGCGAGGGAACAAAAGAAGACGAGGGUUUUACGUUGGUAACCAAUUUUUAUUUUUAUUUAAGAGAGAGAGAGAGAGAGAGAGAGAGAGAGAGAAAUGUUGGCUUUAUUGGAUUUC